rnacentral:lncRNA from 1 species
AAAUGACUGUCUUUUUAUUUUAUUCUUUCAGAGUGUAAAAAGAGCAACUGAACCAGCAACAGGCUACAUUAUUUUAGUCACUGUUCUUGGUCUACUGGAAGUACAUCACCUACCAGAGGUGCUAGGUCAAGGGAGCAGAAAGGCUUAAGCUUCCAGGCUCUUAACCAAGUCUGGAAAUAGGAGUGUCAUCUCACCUAACACGGACCUUCAGCAACCAGCUUUCAGGACUAAAUCCAUAUCUUAUCCAUCAGUGAUAUGUGAAGGCAUCACUAAUCAUUUAGGUCAAUGUUUUGAAGUUGAUUACUAUGGAAAAAGGACUUCCACUGCACUGAGAUUCUCCAUUUCAUCAGCUGUUUUCCAUGUUGAAGAAAUAAAUCUGGAAUGUCAGUUUGAAUGGACUGUCUCUGCUUGUAACCGCAUGGAAACCAGCCAAGAAGAAUUGUUUCUUACAGCUAUCUUCCUCAGUAGCUUCCAGCUUCUUCCAGCUUUGCUCUGUCACUCAGCUGUGAAUCCAGCACCUGGAUCUCUGUGA